UCUUAUGAUGAUUAUUUUUGUCCAGUUCUGCUACUGAAGUUGAGAGAAGACACUUAAUAUAAUCUGAAGAAGA